rnacentral:tRNA from 1 species
UAUUUUAUUAGUAUAAGUUUAGUAUAUUUAAUUUCCAAUUAAGAGGUUUAUUUUUAAAUAAAAU